UUAUUUGAGACUGAUGUGAAAGACCACGGCUAAACCGUGGAGGGUAAUGGGAAACUGGAAAACUUGAGUGCAGAAGCGGAAAGUGGAAUUCCAGGUGUAGCGGUGAAAUGCGCAAAGAUAUGGAGGAACACCAGUGGCGAAGGCGACUUUCUGGUCUGAAACUGACGCUGAUGUGCGAAAGGGUGGGGAUCAAACAGGAUUAGAUACCCUGGUAGUCCACGCCGUAAACGAUGAGUGCUAAGUUUUAGGGGGUUUCCGCCUCUUAGCGCUGCAGCUAACGCAUUAAGCACUCCGCCUGGGGAGUACGACCGCAAGGUUGAAACUCAAAGCAAUUGACGGGGACUCGCACAUGCGGCGGAGCAUGAGGUUUAAUUCGAAUCA
rnacentral:rRNA from 1 species